rnacentral:tRNA from 1 species
AACUCUAUUUUUUUGUUUUGAAAACAAAAGUUAAGAAAAAUCUUUAGAGUCG